rnacentral:rRNA from 1 species
GAGGGGCAGCGGGGGAGAAGCUUGCUUUUCCUGCCGGCGACCGGCGCACGGGUGAGUAACACGUAUGCAACCUGCCCCUGUCAGAGGGAUAAUCCGGAGAAAUCCGGUCUAAUAUCGCAUAAAGCGUUUGCGGGGCAUCCUGCGAGCGCCAAAGGAGAAAUCCGGACAGGGAUGGGCAUGCGGCGCAUUAGCUAGUUGGGGGGGUAACGGCCCACCAAGGCGACGAUGCGUAGGGGUUCUGAGAGGAAGGUCCCCCACAUUGGUACUGAGACACGGACCAAACUCCUACGGGAGGCAGCAGUGAGGAAUAUUGGUCAAUGGGCGGAAGCCUGAACCAGCCAAGUCGCGUGAGGGAAGACGGCCCUAUGGGUUGUAAACCUCUUUUGCCGGGGAGCAAAAGCGCCGUGCGCGGUGCUAUGAGAGUACCCGGAGAAAAAGCAUCGGCUAACUCCGUGCCAGCAGCCGCGGUAAUACGGAGGAUGCGAGCGUUAUCCGGAUUUAUUGGGUUUAAAGGGUGCGUAGGCGGACAGUUAAGUCAGCGGUCAAAACGGGCGGCUCAACCGCCUGCCGCCGUUGAAAACUGGCAGUCUAGAGUGGGCGAGAAGUACGCGGAAUGCGCGGUGUAGCGGUGAAAUGCAUAGAUAUUGCGCAGAACUCCGAUUGCGAAGGCAGCGUACCGGCGCCCGACUGACGCUGAGGCACGAAAGCGUGGGGAUCGAACAGGAUUAGAUACCCUGGUAGUCCACGCAGUAAACGAUGGACACUAUCUGUUCGGGUCGAGAGAGAUCUGAGUGGCACAGCGAAAGCGUUAAGUGUCCCACCUGGGGAGUACGCCGGCAACGGUGAAACUCAAAGGAAUUGACGGGGGCCCGCACAAGCGGAGGAACAUGUGGUUUAAUUCGAUGAUACGCGAGGAACCUCACCCGGGCUCAAACGCACGACGGCGGCACGUGAAAGCGUGCUUACCUACGGGACGUUGUGCGAGGUGCUGCAUGGUUGUCGUCAGCUCGUGCCGUGAGGUGUCGGCUUAAGUGCCGUAACGAGCGCAACCCCCAUCCGCAGUUACCAGCAGGUAAAGCUGGGGACUCU